CAGAUCACGGUCCACGUACGCAUUCACAAGGACUUCCAUACAAAAAGCAUACCCACCAUGAUAUACCUCUAUGCAGGCGGGUAUCCGCUUGCCCAAAGGGUUGGGUUCAGUUAUGCCUAACACCUGCUAAUCAAUGGACAAUUUUUUGUGUACAAAAAAACAUGACCUGCGAGAGCUACUGGCGAAACAUUUGCACACAGAAGUCUGUUCCUUACUGUAACUCAGUUCCUAAACACUGCAUCUGUGUUUGUGCUGCUAGCAGAGCCGUAAUGGAAGCAAAAAAUAAGGGAGAUCAUUCAUAGGAAAAAAGGAAACCCCGACGAAGGACCACAGUCUCGUGUUCAUAUAACACCAGUGCAAAUGAGAGCCAAUACUUGACACACCAGCUAUUGAUACGUCCGUGCGGCGCAACCAACGCCUUACAGCAUCACACGUAUCAAUAAAACAAAAUUAUGAAAGUUUCAUUCGCUUGAUUGAGACUUUCAGGU